CGCUGUAAGGCAUCAACUCUACAGCUGCACCACUGUGGCGCCCUAAAGGCGCAGUCAGUCUAUUUCAGUGUUGGAGGAGCAGUGGAAAAUUUCAAAAAGAUGCAAGCAGUUGGAUGAGUUGAGUGAUCAAAGUCGGCUAAUUGAGCAACUAACAAAUUGAGCUACCGAGCUACUGGCUUUUUUGGGAGAGAGGAUGUGUUGAGGUGAGGUGCUUUGUGAAGGUUCAGGCUCACAGGCUUCGGCAAGGGGGCUGAGCAGAGGGACAAGAGGCAAAGGAAAUCAGUCGGAGAUGGGACGGGACUGUUUAGUGACCAUCAAGGAAAGGACAGACCCUAGCUGAUAUCAGAAAUACGGUGUGGAUUUAACAGUGAAAGAAAUACCGUGGGAAUACAAGGUGGUGCGUUAAAAUGAUGAGGAACUUCAUACUCUACUACGGAUCAAGCACAGAUGAAUUAGUAACACGGAUGGAGGGGACUCGUGCCCACAAAAACUCGGGAGGUGAAGACUCAUCAGACGGGAAUCAUGAAGCUACGCCCACGAAAACUCGGGAAGCUUGAAGAAGUUCUGGGAAAAUACAUCAGCAUCUUGUUGUUAACGUUUGUUAGAAUGGAACAGUCACCAUUGUACACUAGUUAUCAAUGAUGAUAGGUUAUCAUAUGAUAAAAGGGGGGAAUGUAAACCUUAGUCAAAACAGAGCCAGAAUAGAGCCAAAAUUAAGCAGUGGCACUCCAAGGAAUUGUAAAUGCAUGAAUUUGAUUAGAUUGCUGCAAAGGGAUUGUAAAUAAUGUUGCAAGACAGUUACCCUGCUGUUUGUUGAUUGGCCAAAGUGUUAAGCACUAGCAGAAUUGCAUUGUGUUCCAGGGUAAAUGUUGCAUUGUUUAGUUGACUAGUUUCCUUCCAGAAGCUUCUGUAAGAAACAUUGUUUAAGGCUCUCUGUAAUUGGACUGUCAGUAAUGUACUGAUGUAAUUGAUAUCUUUGAUUGGAUUGUAAGGGGACCACCCCUAUGUAGUUCGGCCCCUCAAGGUUCGUGGACUUAUAAAUGGUAGCCCCAUUUUGGAUCGAUGUCGAUCUUCUGGAAGGGCGCUUGGGACUGUGUGACCUUUUGGGCAGUGUCUGCUUGCAGGAGGCUGAAGGACUUGGCCAGGCAGAGACAAGGAUCGAAACCGCGGUGGUUAGGGGAAUUUGUGUUUGUUCUAAAAAUAAAGAUUAGUUAGUCCAGUGCUUGAGUCAGUGUUUUUACAGAACCAGACUAGGGGGGUAAGCUUUAGGAGCGUAUUUACAGGGGCGCCAAACGAUUGGCAGCCUCGCCAACAGUCUGUUUGUUUUUUCAUCUUUUUUUCAAAAAAUAUUGUGUGUUUUAUAAGUCUGUGUACAUGUUCUCUGGUUUGUUUUAUGGGGGGGGGGGGGGCGAUUGCCGAAGGGAGCUGACAUCCCCCCGAUGCAGGAACUGGAUCGCCCCGACGUGGAGGGCCAAAACGCCGCCGGAUACGGGGGUCAAGAUUCUCCCGUCAACGGAGGGGUCGAGGCCCCCCGAUCGCAGGAGAGCAAAGGGAAGAGAUUGAACCUUUUUUUGCCUUCCAUCACAGUGAGGAAUGUGGAGGAAUCACUGUGCUGGAUGUAUAUGUUAAAAGGUGUUUUGUGUGUUCUUUUGCUUUUUUUUGUAUGACUGACUUGGCAAAUGAAAUUCUUCGUAUAUUGCAAAACAUACUUGGCUAAUAAAUUAUUAUUGCGAUUGUGAUUGUAAUAGCAAAGAGAUUGUCAAUGUUUUGGGUCAAGACUCUGCAUUAGGACCUGGAGACUUUGUGCUACCUUUGAACCAGAUCCCAUAAGCCAUCUUUAAAUGCCAGGUUUUAAAGCAUCUGCAGUCUCUUGUAUCACAAUAAAGUGGAAUAAAGC